GACGAACCGUCCAAACGUUGUUCGGAAUCACUGGGCUUAAAGGGCGCGUAGGCGGGUUCCCAAGUCGGUGGUGAAAUCUUUCGGCCCAACCGGAAAACAGCCGCCGAUACUGGGGACCUCGAGGGAGGUAGGGGUCGAGGGAACUUCCGGUGGAGCGGUGAAAUGCGUAGAUAUCGGAAGGAACGCCGGUGGCGAAAGCGCUCGACUGGACCCCUUCUGACGCUGAGGCGCGAAAGCCAGGGGAGCAAACGGG
rnacentral:rRNA from 1 species